rnacentral:rRNA from 1 species
UGAGUAACCUGCCCUUAACUCUGGGAUAAGCCUGGGAAACUGGGUCUAAUACCGGAUAUGACUCCUCAUCGUAUGGUGGGGGGUGGAAAGCUUUUUGUGGUUUUGGAUGGACUCGCGGCCUAUCAGCUUGUUGGUGAGGUAACGGCUCACCAAGGCUUCGACGGGUAGCCGGCCUGAGAGGGCGACCGGCCACACUGGGACUGAGACACGGCCCAGACUCCUACGGGAGGCAG